rnacentral:pre_miRNA from 1 species
UUUUACAGAUGAGCAAAGAAAGCGGUUUCUUGAGAUGGAAUCUACUCCUGGUGAAGAUGCUGUGAA